CGAGAUGAGGACUCCCACCCACUUGAUGGGGUAAGGCUCCCAGUAGACGACUGGGUUGAUAGGCCGGAUCUGGAAGCCAGGUAACUGGUGGAGGUGACCGGUACUAAUAGGCCGAGGGCUUGUCCUCAGUUG
rnacentral:rRNA from 1 species